rnacentral:snRNA from 1 species
UAACUCUGGUUUCCCUUCAAAACGCAUAAAUCUUUCGCCUUUUACUAAAGAUUUCCGUGGAGGGGAACACUCAAAUGAGUCUUUAAAAUUUUUGAUGCCCUACGAAAUUCGUAGGGC